CACAAUCCUACUCGAUCGGCUAUAUAUUCUCUUUCUCCUCAAGCUUUUCUUGCAUUCAUAUUUAAGCUAUAUAGAGUAUCAUCUCAUCUCUUUUCUUCUCUUCUAGCUCUUGGAUUUUGGAAAAUGAACAAGCCUCCAAAGUACGCUACUCCAUACCCAGCCCAAGGUACUUAUAUUAUAUACCGUCAAACUUCUCUAUAACAGUUUUGUUUGUUCUGAAUAUUUUUGAAUGUUAUGGUGAAGUGUUGUUACGAAAGAAAAUAUAUUAUAACAUAACAUGAAAUUUGGUUUUGAAAAAGUUUGGCUUUUUAUAGUGAAAGUGUUGUUAUACGUAGAUGCAUAUUAUUCUAUAGUCGUUCUUAAUUAUUCUAUUUGCAUACUUCUAUGUAUUUGACUUAAGUAGGUCUAUAUAUUAUGACAAAUGAGUUGUUGGUGUAACAAUAUUUCGUACAUGAUGCUGCCUUAACAUUGUUCGUCGUGCUAGAUUAUAAACACAUUAUUGUACUGGAUGUUCUAAACAUCGAUCUUCUGUUUUCAAUGAUGGCAACUUGAUACAUAUAUUCGGUGAUUUUAAGGUAAUGCAAUUUUACUUGAGGUCUUGUAUGACUAGAAUGGUUGCAAGUUCUCUUAAAUAGUGAGAAGAUAAAAAUGCAUUGUGAAGAAAUGAAUGGUGGAGACAGGAGCGAUGAUGCUGAACGACUAAAUAUUUGGGUUAGACCGAAUUCAAUAGCUUUAGUCCAAUUUUUGUAUUUGUAUUAAUGUAUUUUUUUCAAGAAAUUCAUUAAAUAUGAACAAAAAUUAAAUUAAGAACCUAAUUACUGACAUGGUAAUAUCUCUUAGAAUGCUUAAAUUUCAGAUCUAGAUAAUGAUUUUGGGAACAAAAACCUACAGUCUGGGAAUGUCACUUGUGUUGUUUACUUUUAGUUAUUGAUCUUGUACGUAAUGCUGUUUAAUUUUGGUGGCAGGUUAUUAUCAGGGUCCUCCCCCUCCAGUGAUGCCACCGCCAACAUAUGCUGUUCCUCCACCUCGUAAAAACAGAGGUUUUCUUAAGGGAUGGUAAUAGCAUAAUUAGCCUCCUAAUUAAACUGAUUUGCUUCUCC
rnacentral:lncRNA from 1 species